rnacentral:rRNA from 1 species
AUACGUAGGUGGCAAGCGUUAUCCGGAUUUACUGGGUGUAAAGGGCGCGUAGGCGGGGGUGCAAGUCAGAUGUGAAAUCUAUGGGCUUAACUCAUAAACUGCAUUUGAAACUGUAUCUCUUGAGUGCUGGAGAGGUAGACGGAAUUCCUUGUGUAGCGGUGAAAUGCGUAGAUAUAAGGAAGAACACCAGUGGCGAAGGCGGUCUACUGGACAGUAACUGACGCUGAGGCGCGAAAGCGAGGGGAGCAAACAGGAUUAGAUACCCUGGUAGUCCACGCUGUAAACGAUGAAUACUAGGUGUGGGGGGACUGACCCCCUCCGUGCCGCAGUUAACACAAUAAGUAUUCCACCUGGGGAGUACGGCCGCAAGGUUGAAACUCAAAGGAAUUGACGGG